rnacentral:rRNA from 1 species
AAUGGGCGAAGCCUGACGCAGCACGCCGCGUGGAGGAUGAAGGCUCUCGGGUUGUAAACUCCUUUCAGCAGGGAAGAAAUUGACGGUACCUGCAGAAGAAGCACCGGCCAACUACGUGCCAGCAGCCGCGGUAAUACGCAGGGUGCAAGCGUUGUCCGGAUUCAUUGGGCGUAAAGAGCUCGUAGGCGGCUUGGCAAGUCAGAUGUGAAACCCUCAGGCUCAACCUGGGGAUGCCAUCUGAUACUGCUAUGGCUAGAGUAUGGUAGGGGACUACGGAAUUCCUGGUGUAGCGGUGAAAUGCGCAGAUAUCAGGAGGAACACCAGUGGCGAAGGCGGUAGUCUGGGCCAUUACUGACGCUGAGGAGCGAAAGCGUGGGGAGCGAACAGGAUUAGAUACCCUGGUAGUCCACGCCGUAAACGUUGGGCACUAGGUGUGGGGUCUAUUUCGACGGACUCCGUGCCGUAGCUAACGCAUUAAGUGCCCCGCCUGGGGA